GUUUUCAUGUCUGGUAACUUGCAAAUGGUCACUUGUGCAAGAUAUUUACCAUAUUUCACUGGGACCUCCUAACAUCAUCUUCUUUUGAUCUAAACCCAGGUUGGUAAAGAAAAUGCAUAUGAUAUGAACUCGUACACCUCCCUGAAUGCUACAUCAGAGAAGCAUAUAGAAUUCAACUCUAUAAAAUCCACCUUCCCCUCUGAAAUGUACAUCUCUAGAUGUGUGUUCCUGAAUCAGCAUUGUUGGUGCUCCUGACGGUGUCAGCCAGGCCACUCAUGCAGACCAUUGCGGCAGCACUGAAAAUGGAAGAAAGAUGGGAUUCUGCUGUCUUUUGUUUUGGCUGAUGAACAGCACCGAGGUGGAGUGGCUCCAGCAGCCAGAACAAGCCACCAUCUCCCCUGGGCUUUCAUAGUAGCCUCCUGACUGGUCUUGCUGCUACCACACUUACACUUCCUGUUCUCUGCAAGGCAGCUGGAGUGACCUUUCACUAAUGUAAGUCAUAUUAUGUCCCCUCUCUGCUGCAAACCCUUCAAUCACUUUCCAUGAAUGGUUCUGGGAAUAAAGUCCAGCUUCCUUCCCCUGAUUCACUUGAUCUGGCCCUUCCCACUUGUCUGACCUGUUUUCCAGCCCAUGCUCCCUGCCCUUGUCUACACUUCUAACGUGUGGUCUUUCUAUUCCUUAAACAUGCCUGGCUCAGUCCCAUGUUAGAGCAUUUCUGCUGGCUCUUCCUCCUGCCUGGACCUUCAUACAACUGGAAAUUCUUGCUUUUCAAGUUGUAAUUUGUUUC